UACGUAGGGACCAAGCGUUGUUCGGAUUUACUGGGCGUAAAGGGCGCGUAGGCGGCAUGACAAGUCACUUGUGAAAUCUCCGGGCUUAACUCGGAACGGCCAAGUGAUACUGUCAAGCUAGAGUGCAGAAAGGGCAAUCGGAAUUCUUGGUGUAGCGGUGAAAUGCGUAGAUAUCAAGAGGAACACCUGAGGCGAAGGCGGGUUGCUAGGCUGACACUGACGCUGACAGCGCGAAAGCCAGGGGAGCAAACGGG
rnacentral:rRNA from 1 species